GAUGAACGCUGGCGGCGUGCCUAAUACAUGCAAGUAGAACGCUGAAGGAAGGAGCUUGCUCUUUCCGGAUGAGUUGCGAACGGGUGAGUAACGCGUAGGUAACCUGCCUGGUAGCGGGGGAUAACUAUUGGAAACGAUAGCUAAUACCGCAUAACAGUAGAUGUUGCAUGAUAUCUACUUAAAAGGUGCAAUUGCACCACUACCAGAUGGACCUGCGUUGUAUUAGCUAGUUGGUGAGGUAACGGCUCACCAAGGCGACGAUACAUAGCCGACCUGAGAGGGUGAUCGGCCACACUGGGACUGAGACACGGCCCAGACUCCUACGGGAGGCAGCAGUAGGGAAUCUUCGGCAAUGGACGGAAGUCUGACCGAGCAACGCCGCGUGAGUGAAGAAGGUUUUCGGAUCGUAAAGCUCUGUUGUAAGAGAAGAACGAGUGUGAGAGUGGAAAGUUCACACUGUGACGGUAUCCUACCAGAAAGGGACGGCUAACUACGUG
rnacentral:rRNA from 1 species